UACAGGGGGUGCAAACGUUGCUCGGAAUCAUUGGGCGUAAAGCGCACGUAGGCGGUUCGUUAUGUCGGAUGUGAAGCCCUUGGCUUAACCGAGGAAGUGCAUCCGAAACUGGCGAGCUAGAGUACGAAAGAGGAUCGCGGAAUUCCCGGUGUAGAGGUGAAAUGCGUAGAUAUCUGGAGGAACACCGGUGGCGAAGGCGGCAUCCUGGACCGAUACUGACGCUGAUGAGCGAAAAGCCAGGGGAGCAAACGGG
rnacentral:rRNA from 1 species